rnacentral:rRNA from 1 species
GUAGUACGAAUGAAAAGCCUUUGAAAAGAGAGUUAAAAAGUACGUGAAAUUGUUGAAAGGGAAGCGUUUAUGACCAGACUUGGGCUUGGUUAAUCAUCUGGGGUUCUCCCCAGUGCACUUUUCCAGUCCAGGCCAGCAUCAGUUUUCGCCGGGGGAUAAAGGCUUCGGGAAUGUGGCUCUCUCCGGGGAGUGUUAUAGCCCGUUGCGUAAUACCCUGGCGGGGACUGAGGUUCGCGCAUCUGCAAGGAUGCUGGCGUAAUGGUCAUCAACGACCCGUCUUGAAACACGGAACCAAGACGGUCGGUCG